CGCUAUUUACAACCUCCGUUCAUUCACAUACGAUGGGAACAUCAGAUUGAUGUUGAUGAAGUAUGGCGUGGCCCGAGAGAACGUUUACACUUAUGCGGAGCUGUAUGUGCUGUUGCUGCUCAUCGCUUUACCAUUCGGGCCUUGUAUUGGCGCUGUACUAGAUUGGCGUAGGAAAUCGACAGCAUCAAAUGAUCCGCCGAUACAGCAGAUGCAAAAUAUUCUGUUUGCGUUGGUGCUGACGUUUCUCUUUGCCCUGGCUAACAACAUACUGCCGAC